CCACACCCGGCCUGCUGUGAGUUUAGAAAUUUCAUUACACGGUGGUUACUGUUUAGGGUUGAGAUGAGAUUCCAAAAAUUGUUCUAAACUUCAUCAACGGAGCUGCUAGCGAAUCGUUGCCGACUUGCCGUAAUCUGUUCUAAACGUUUGUUUCUUAGAUAUGGCCAUUGAUAAUGAUAAAGAAGUCAAUGUUUCUGAUGCUUCCUUUUCCAUUUCCAUGGCCGAAAAUCAGAAAUCAUUUUUGAAGAACGAUUCGAAGGUCUUUCAAAUGGCGUUAAAUGCUUCAACAAACCAGAACCAGAUGGUUGAACUAAAUUUUCAAUGGUUGAAACUUGAUGCCUACAGUUGUGGAAAUGUAAUUUAUUUAUUACUUUGCUUACUUUAAUGAAUACUGUUGAAACCAAAAUUUAUGUGGUUUUGAAGAUUUUAGCACUACAUUGUGUUAUGGCUUUGUAA